UACGUAGGGGGCAAGCGUUGUCCGGAUUUAUUGGGCGUAAAGCGCUCGCAGGUGGUUCGUCGCGUCGUGCGUGAAAGACCCCGGCUCAACUGGGGAGGGUCGUGCGAUACGGGCGAACUGGAGGCCAGUAGGGGGAUGCGGAAUUCCGGGUGUAGUGGUGGAAUGCGUAGAGAUCCGGCGGAACACCGGUGGUGAAGACGGUCUCCUGGGCCGAGGGCCGACGCUGAGGCGCGAGAGCGUGGGGAGCGAACCGG
rnacentral:rRNA from 1 species